GCUUUGGCUUUAGCUUGCCGUUUUGUGAUUGUGCUGCUCUUCUAUCCUAUGCCACACUUGAGUAGGUGUUGCACUUCCAUCCACACGAUUUCACCAUAAUAUUUUUUCAGAUCAGAAGUUUAAUUAAUAACUCCAGAGAUUUCAGGGUUCUCUUCUCUUAAUCAGGAUGAAACCUGAAAUCAAUAAUACAUUUAUACCCAUUGUUUAGAAACCUUUUGUGGGAUGAUGAAUAAUUUGGUAACAUGAAAGGUAAAGAAACAAAGUUAGUAGUAAAUAGUAGAAGAGAGAAAAGGAAAGGAAUUAAGGAAGAUCUUCAUCUUUUAUUUCACCAGCAAUAACCACAGAAAUCAAGGAUCCUUGAGAAAAAAGAGGGAGGAAGAAGCAAAUGAGUAGGAUCCUUGAGAACCUGACAGAUUCUAGGAUGACGACACUCCAUGUGACCAAAAAUUGGAUACAUGUAAACCAUGCGGCGACCCACAGUGGCGACUCCAUCAAUCGCUGGCCCCUUCCACAUGAAUUCCUAUUUGUCUCUUUUCUCUCCGCUGUGUCUUCAAGCCUCUGGAAAGGAUAUUGCUUGGGGAACUGUUAUUAUCCACUAGGGUACUCGUGGCAAUAAUAGGUUGGGACUUGGAUCCAGGGCCGACCUAUACACAUGCUACUCUACGUGGCAUAAAUCUGUCUGCCUGUCAACAAAGCAAAAGGUCGAUAAAACUGAAAUGGAAACAUAAGACCUAAGGUGACAGAUCGUCGGUGACAGACUACGAAAACUUCCUCUGGUCGUAAGAAUCAAAAGAGAGUUAUUUCGAUGAUUUUCUUUUCUUUUUUUUUUCUUUUUAAAUCAAGUCGUAGGGCAUAGGACAUAGAGCGCGAGCCAUUGUUUAUUUUAGAAUAAGUCGGUGGGAGAGAGACGGUUUCGUUUCUCACUUGAACAUAGCGCAAUCUUCACGUGUUUUCUCUUCUGUCUUUUUUACUCCUUUCUGUUGCGUACUGUUUUUGCUCUCCUCGCUGUUUUCCUUUCUUUUUCUUCUCUUCUUUCUCUUUCCGUUUGUUUCUUUCCUUUCUCUUGAUAGAUAUAUAUAUAUAUAACUAUAUAUCUCAUUUUGUUGGAGACUGAACUGAGAUUGUUGUUAACUUAAGAUUGAUAAAAGAGAGAAGAGAAGUCUAAUUUGCUGAGAAAAUGGAAGGAAAGAAAGGAGUGGGGUCGUCCUCUUCUUCCUUUACUUCAGAGCUCUUUGGUUCAAAAGAGUCACCUUCAUCUUCCACAGGGAUUUUCGGGUCUAUAUUUGCUCCUCCAUCUAAGGUGUUAGGAAGGGAGUCUCUGCGUUCUGAUGUGAUGGCCAAAAGGCAGGAUUCUCAGAAUGAGCCCUGGAUCACAAAGGCUGGAGCCCCUGGUUUGUGCAUCAUCUUGUCAGGUAAUUCUUCCAAAGGACGUGAAGGUGAAAAUCACAGCAUAGACAAUAGAGACGCGAGUUCCAUUUAUCAGGAGCAAAAAGUACAACCAUGUCAUCUAAGUUCAUCCAUCUACUAUGGCGGCCAAGAUGUAUACUUUCAUCCCCAGAGUAGCCAGGGCUCUGGAUUAAACUCUGUGUACAAGAAGAAUGGUGGAGAAGAUGAUUCUGGGAGUGCAUCAAGAGGAAACUGGUGGCAAGGGUCUCUCUAUUACUAAGAGUUUACUUGCCAAUCAACAUACUUAUCAAGAUUCCCUCCAAGGAUGCCACACACCAUAAACAGUUAAACCAACCUUCAAUUGGGUGUGGCCCAGCUACCACAAUUAUCUUGCAAGUAUUAAUCCAUCCAACAUUGAUUCGGACAAAUGCUUUACAAUUGGUUGUUAAAGAAGUUAUGGUCGUUAAAGAGGACUUAAAGGGUGAGGACAAAUAUUCUGCAACCACAAUUUUGUCAAAGUUGAUUAGGAUUUUGAUGUUACAUUAUCAAUGGUUGUCUUCAUGAUUGUGGAAACAUUUUUUUUUAACUGUUAACCAUUGUCAAAUGAAUCAUACCUUUGGAAUCAGUUUUGUUGCUUCUCUAUUGGUUUUCUGAAUUGAUAUUUCAAAGGGUAAUGCAAUCAAAAGCUAGCAAAAAACAGAAACAUACAUGAUUUUCUUCUAUUGUUACUCAAGAUGCAUAUAAACAAGCUGAAAGCUUUUAUUCGUACAAAGGCAAGCUUAAGCUACGUGGUCACUACUAUGACAAGUGAACUCCAGCACUUUUAUCUCAAUGUGAGCCUCCAAAAUUCUGCCUUCAAGGAAGUGCAUAAGCUGCAAACAA